CCACUAAACACUAAUGAAGAAAAAAGAAGAAAAAUACAAACAUGCAGCCGAAUUUGUCUGGUGCUUCUCCUUUGUCGCGCUCUAAAGGAAUCAGUUUGUUUCCUCAUACUAAAAGAUGACUACAUCUAGCUUUGGUACUUACCUCCCAGAGAUCUGCUGUCCUGCUGGUCUCAUCUUCGCUGAGGACCACUUUGAGGUGCUCCUACCAGGGCCAGGUGGAUGUUUGUGUGGUGGACUCUCCUCAUACUCAGAAAUGGGUGUGGGACUUUGCCUGCAGCUGUUAGGUCUGAAAGGUCCCUUCCCCCGUGAAAUUAUCUGCUUAGAAAAGCAUUGGACAAGAGGAAAGGACAGGAGAGGAAUCUCCUGAUGUUGUUAGAUUUGCGGACCAUCUUCAGUUGUCACAGAAAGUACUUGAAUGGUCGAGCAUGAGGUGUUAUCCAGAACACCAUAUGUUCAAGGAUCAUCACAGAGGUGGAGUAGGCCAUGUUAUAUGUAAUGUACUCUGCCGUACAGUUUCCUAAAGUUGUGUAAUACAAAUAACCCUAGCAGGCUGUCAGGAUAGUGGAUGUUCAGAGAGAAACUCUCCAGAAGAUGGUCAUGGCUGCACAUAGGAGCAUGACGUUUUGAUAUCUUCACAGCAACCUGAACGUCGUCUUGAUGACCACAUCUUGGUCAUAUCUCGGAGCUGCUGUACCUUAAAGGAACGUUAUCCACACCAAAUAAUGCACCUCGCUCGAUGAAACAUGCUGGAAGCCACUGUGACCUUUUGUUUUUCUUAUAAAUGCAUGGACUGGGUCCUCACACACAAUAGCAGAAAGGUGUGUGUCACAU